rfam:Strongylocentrotus purpuratus Contig127190_fixed, whole genome shotgun sequence.
GCGUUGGUGGUAUAGUGGUUAGCAAAGUUGACUUCCAAGCAAUUGACCCGGUUUCGAUUCCCGGCCAACGCA